GGGGUUGUGGCUCAGCGGUAGAGCACUUGCCUAGCAUGUGUGAGGCUCUGGGUUCAAUCCUCAGCACCA
rnacentral:tRNA from 1 species